rnacentral:rRNA from 1 species
AUUGAACGCUGGCGGCAGGCUUAACACAUGCAAGUCGAGCGGAGAGAGGUAGCUUGCUACUGAUCUUAGCGGCGGACGGGUGAGUAAUGCUUAGGAAUCUGCCUAUUAGUGGGGGACAACAUUUCGAAAGGAAUGCUAAUACCGCAUACGUCCUACGGGAGAAAGCAGGGGAUCUUCGGACCUUGCGCUAAUAGAUGAGCCUAAGUCGGAUUAGCUAGUUGGUGGGGUAAAGGCCUACCAAGGCGACGAUCUGUAGCGGGUCUGAGAGGAUGAUCCGCCACACUGGGACUGAGACACGGCCCAGACUCCUACGGGAGGCAGCAGUGGGGAAUAUUGGACAAUGGGCGGAAGCCUGAUCCAGCCAUGCCGCGUGUGAAGAAGGCCUUAUGGUUGUAAAGCACUUUAAGCGAGGAGGAGGCUACUUUAGUUAAUACCUAGAGAUAGUGGACGUUACUCGCAGAAUAAGCACCGGCUAACUCUGUGCCAGCAGCCGCCGUAA